GAUGAACGCUGGCGGCGUGCCUAAUACAUGCAAGUCGAGCGAACGGACGAGAAGCUUGCUUCUCUGAUGUUAGCGGCGGACGGGUGAGUAACACGUGGAUAACCUACCUAUAAGACUGGGAUAACUUCGGGAAACCGGAGCUAAUACCGGAUGAUAUUUUGAACCGCAUGGUUCAAAAGUGAAAGACGGUCUUGCUGUCACUUAUAGAUGGAUCCGCGCUGCAUUAGCUAGUUGGUAAGGUAACGGCUUACCAAGGCAACGAUGCAUAGCCGACCUGAGAGGGUGAUCGGCCACACUGGAACUGAGACACGGUCCAGACUCCUACGGGAGGCAGCAGUAGGGAAUCUUCCGCAAUGGGCGAAAGCCUGACGGAGCAACGCCGCGUGAGUGAUGAAGGUCUUCGGAUCGUAAAACUCUGUUAUUAGGGAAGAACAUAUGUGUAAGUAACUGUGCACAUCUUGACGGUACCUAAUCAGAAAGCCACGGCUAACUACGUGCCAGCAGCCGUGGUAAUACGUAGGUGGCAAGCGUUAUCCGGAAUUAUUGGGCGUAAAGCGCGCGUAGGCGGUUUUUUAAGUCUGAUGUGAAAGCCCACGGCUCAACCGUGGAGGGUCAUUGGAAACUGGAAAACUUGAGUGCAGAAGAGGAAAGUGGAAUUCCAUGUGUAGCGGUGAAAUGCGCAGAGAUAUGGAGGAACACCAGUGGCGAAGGCGACUUUCUGGUCUGUAACUGACGCUGAUGUGCGAAAGCGUGGGGAUCAAACAGGAUUAGAUACCCUGGUAGUCCACGCCGUAAACGAUGAGUGCUAAGUGUUAGGGGGUUUCCGCCCCUUAGUGCUGCAGCUAACGCAUUAAGCACUCCGCCUGGGGAGUACGACCGCAAGGUUG
rnacentral:rRNA from 1 species